UCUUAAAUAAAGUGAUUUGCAUCAGCAGCUCCAUGCUCCAGCGCUCUGGGAGAGUUUAUAGUCCUGACAGUUGAACACUGGAUGACUGACAGCUGUCCUUCAUCACAGCAGAAGACACAGAAAUCCUCCUCAUCAUCAGAAACAUGACUUUGAUCUGCGUCCUCAUCUGGACUCUCCUCUGCUGCUGCUUCACAGAGGUCAGAGGUCAGGUAACUGUGACUCAGCCUGCAGCAGUGAGAGUUGAUCUGGGAAGAACUGUCAGCAUUAACUGUAGAACCAGUCAGAAUGUUUAUGGUUCUGACCGUUUAGCCUGGUACCAACAGAAAGAUGGACAAACUCCUAAGCUCCUCAUUUAUCGUACCAGCACUAAAGCAUCAGGGACUCCAAGUCGUUUUUCAGGCAGUGGAUCAAACUCUGACUUCACUCUGACCAUCAGUGGAGUUCAGGCUGAAGAUGCUGCAGUUUAUUACUGUCAGAGUUUUCAUUACAUCAACAGUCAGGAUGUGUUCACACAGUGA